AUAAAAAGCCCGCUAAACUAAUCACCAGGCACUGUGGGUCAAAUACAGUCAGCGGUAACGAACCUUCCACCUCUCCUAAAACUUCACUCCCGACACCAUGAUCAAGGAAAUUGCUCUUGUCCUGGUGGUUUUUGGUUGCGCUUAUGUUAGCGGACAGAUGAACCCCAUGGCACUAAUGGCAUUGUCUGGGGGAGCAGGAGGAAGGGGCGGGGCUGGCUCAAUGAUGAUGCGCCUCCUCAACAACCCGUACAGUCUUUGUAAAGAAACAGAGGGAGUUAAAGCCAUUCCUUGCCGUACCGGUAACAUCUGCGAUCUUCUCUCACUAAGACAGUACCGUCUUCCAAAUCUAAUGAAAUGUAGCCCAGCUGGUAUCGGAUGUUGUCUGAAAGAUUACAUGUCUCUGCAAUUAAGCAAAAUGAUGAACUGAGAAUGCAAAGAAUUUCAUCUUUUCC